UGGUGAAGAGUCCCACUAGAUGGAGACUCUGCUGAAGAGUCCCACUAGAUGAAAAACAGGGACUCUGGUGAAGAGUCCCAUUGGAUUAGGACUCUAUCAUUAAUGAAAGAUUAAUUAAUAAUUAGAUCAUUAAUUAACUUAAUUUGAUUGAGAAUUAAAGUCUGGAUCAAGUCUGAUUGAAUUGGAUUCAAUCAGGUCAGGUCUCAUUAGGUUAUGAG
rnacentral:lncRNA from 1 species